UGUGCUAGACGGGGAACUAGCGGUGCCCUGUAUCUGAAACCCGCUAUACGCAGAGUCGAAUGCUUCCGUAGGCUUUAUUUAUGGGAGGCCCGGCCGUUGUAAGGAAUGUUGAUAUUAAGGUCUUGUGCAACUGUGCGCUGUGAACCAUGUCAGGGCCUGACCGCAGCAGCAUUAAGCAGUUAGCGCGGUGUGCCACAAGGAAACUUUAAAGGAGUCACCUGCAACGAUACCGCUCCGGUAGAUACUGUCGAGGGAAGAUGCAC
rnacentral:SRP_RNA from 1 species